UACAGAGGUCUCAAGCGUUGUUCGGAUUCAUUGGGCGUAAAGAGCUCGUAGGCGGCUUGUCGCGCGGUUUGUGAAAGCCCGGGGCUUAACCCCGGGUCUGCAGUCGAUACGGGGCAGGCUAGAGUUCGGUAGGGGGAGAUCGGAAUUCCUGGUGUAGCGGUGAAAUGCGCAGAUAUCAGGAGGAACACCGGUGGCGAAGGCGGAUCUCUGGGCCGAUACUGACGCUGAGGAGCGAAAGCGUGGGGAGCGAACAGG
rnacentral:rRNA from 1 species